rnacentral:lncRNA from 1 species
GGUUCCAUUUUUGGUUGAUCCAAACACUGGUGUCCAGUUAGGUGAUUACCAGAAGAUUCUGGCUUACCUCUUCAAGACUAUUCUUCACCAGUAUCUGCAUAGUGCAUAAUCUGACAUAUACACCAUUAUCCUCAACUUGAGGACCCCAAAGCAAGGUACAAGCUUUUAACACCACAUGUUUUGAUAAUAUCAUGGAAGAACAAUGGUCAUUCUUGGGGAAUUAAAAAUAAUAUCCGAACUUUUUGAACAAAUGAUGGGUCGGUACUCGGUAUCUGGAGGAAGAAGUUAAGAGACAAUUAAUGGCGUUUCCAGGGAUCUUUUUAUAGAAAGUUAGAUCUAUAAUGUAUGGAAGUCUCCGAAAUAGACUAAAACUCAUUUGUUAUGUAACAAUGCAGGAUCAGGACGCAUGGUAACACAAAGGUCCUUUUCUUAUUUUAGGUAUCUUUGAUGUAUAUAAUAAUAAUAGUGCCAAUAUUGGUAAAUAUUGUAUAUCAAGACUAAACACCUGUCUUGUUUUGUGUUUGGGGAUCAGAUUCUUCUCUUU